rnacentral:rRNA from 1 species
UUCCGGUUGAUCCUGCCGGAGGUUACUGCUUUUGGAGUUCGACUAAGCCAUGCAAGUCAUAUGUUCCUCGUGAACAUGGCAUACUGCUCAGUAACACGUGGAUAACCUGCCCUUGGGUCUGGGAUAACCCCGGGAAACUGGGGAUAAUACCGGAUAACGCAUAUGUGCUGGAAUGCUUUAUGCGUAAAACGGAUUCGUCCGCCCAAGGAUGGGUCUGCGGCCUAUCAGGUAGUAGUGGGUGUAAUGUACCUACUAGCCAACAACGGGUACGGGUUGUGAGAGCAAGAGCCCGGAGAUGGAUUCUGAGACAUGAAUCCAGGCCCUACGGGGCGCAGCAGGCGCGAAAACUUUACAAUGCGGGAAACCGUGAUAAGGGAACACCGAGUGCCAGCAUCAUAUGCUGGCUGUCCAGAUGUGUAAACUACAUCUGUUAGCAAGGGCCGGGCAAGACCGGUGCCAGCCGCCGCGGUAACACCGGCGGCCCGAGUGGUGACCGUUAUUAUUGGGUCUAAAGGGUCCGUAGCCGGUUUGGUCAGUCCUCCGGGAAAUCUGAUAGCUUAACUGUUAGGCUUUCGGGGGAUACUGCCAGGCUUGGAACCGGGAGGGGUAAGAGGUACUACAGGGGUAGGAGUGAAAUCUUGUA